UACAGAGGUGGCAAGCGUUGUUCGGAAUUACUGGGCGUAAAGGGCGCGUAGGCGGCCUUCUAAGUCAGACGUGAAAUCCCCCGGCUUAACCUGGGAACUGCGUCUGAUACUGGAGGGCUUGAGUACUAAAGAGGGUCGCGGAAUUCCCGGUGUAGAGGUGAAAUUCGUAGAUAUCGGGAGGAACACCGGUGGCGAAGGCGGCGACCUGGGUAGAUACUGACGCUGAGGUGCGAAAGCGUGGGGAGCAAACAGG
rnacentral:rRNA from 1 species